GAGCUGCAUCUAGGAAAUCUGAGGCUGCCAUGCUGUGAGGAAGCCCAAACCAACCCCACAAGGGGAACACAUGGAGAGUCCUGAGAGCACAGAGAGAGCCGAGGCUAGCAGCCCCCAGCUGGGCUGGCCCCUGGCUGCUCCAGCACCAGCCACCGUCUAACUGCGACUGCAUGAGAGCCAAGCCAGGAUUGUCCAGCCAAGCUGUUGCCAAAUUCCUGCCCACAGAAACCAUGAGAGACGAUAAAUGACUGCUGUUGUUUUAGACCACCAGGCACUGGAAGUGACGUGCUCCGUGGGAAUGGAGAACAGAGUGAGCUCUAACGGCAACACAAUUUAACUGAUCACUCAGUGUGUACUGGGCUUGGGACUAGAUGCCGUGGAUACGAAAAUGGCAAAGCACCAAUGUGCCCUUGAGGGACAUACUGGACCCUGGAUUCACAUCCAAGACUGGCUGGCUCCUAGAUUCAAGGCCUCAAAGGUGGCACCUCUCUUUGGCUCAGGGAAGCAGAGGAUGUGGAACCCCUAGAAAAAGUCAUUUGACCGGGAGUUCGACCACUUCCCAUGACGUGCGCUGACCACCAGGAGGUGGCGUGGAACAUGGCAGGCAUCGGUGACAUGCUGCGACCUCUCGCUGGCUACCUGGGGAUGGGGGGCAGGGGGGGCGGGGAUGGAGGUGCAGUGAAAAUGCUGGGUGUCCGCCCGAGCUCACUCACUCCCCCUGCUACCCUCUCCGGGGAUGCCAGGGCUUGAGUGCCGGGGAAGCCCCCGCACUCAGGUGCCGGAUGCCUGCGAGGAGCCCAUCCCACACUGGCACGGUGUCUUCCAGGUGAGCUGGGCUGCAGCCGCCAGGACUGCAGGGGCCAGUUGGGCUCCUUGUGGGUUUGUGCAGGAGCUGGUCUGCAAAGCUGGCCGGGAGAGAGCCCGCUGCCCGCCCAGCUUCCUUGCUACGCCA